GCAGCUGAAACUCCACUAUUGCCUGCUGCUGCUCGCACAGUCUCUCCAGCAUGUGCAAGGUGGAGUUCCACCUUGUGGGCACGUCGCAUAUGAGGCGGUGAGCGGGAAGGCCGAAGUUAUGCUGCAGCGCAGACAAGCGAGCAGCAGCAGGGUGAGAACACCGAAAGCGCGCAGAGCCGUUACAGUAAAACUGUGAAUGGCUCAUUAAAUCAGUUAUGGUUCCUUUGAUCGCUCUAUCUGUUACUUGGAUAACUGUGGUAAUUCUAGAGCUAAUACAUACCGACGAGCGCUGGGGGGUGGCCACUCC